rnacentral:rRNA from 1 species
CAGCCGCCGCGGGAACACGAAGGGUGCAAGCGUUAAUCGGAAUUACUGGGCGUAAAGCGCACGCAGGCGGUUUGUUAAGUCAGAUGUGAAAUCCCCGAGCUUAACUUGGGAACUGCAUUUGAAACUGGUAAGCUAGAGUCUUGUAGAGGGGGGUAGAAUUCCAGGUGUAGCGGUGAAAUGCGUAGAGAUCUGGAGGAAUACCGGUGGCGAAGGCGGCCCCCUGGACAAAGACUGACGCUCAGGUGCGAAAGCGUGGGGAGCAAACAGGAUUAGAGACCCCAGUAGUCCCUGUCUCUUAUAC